rnacentral:rRNA from 1 species
AUUGAACGCUGGCGGCAGGCCUAACACAUGCAAGUCGAGCGGAUGAAGGGAGCUUGCUCCUGGAUUCAGCGGCGGACGGGAGAGUAAUGCCUAGGAAUCUGCCUGGUAGUGGGGGAUAACGUCCGGAAACGGGCGCUAAUACCGCAUACGUCCUGAGGGAGAAAGUGGGGGAUCUUCGGACCUCCCGCUAUCAGAUGAGCCUAGGUCGGAUUAGCUAGUUGGUGGGGUAAAGGCCUACCAAGGCGACGAUCCGUAACUGGUCUGAGAGGAUGAUCAGUCACACUGGAACUGAGACACGGUCCAGACUCCUACGGGAGGCAGCAGUGGGGAAUAUUGGACAAUGGGCGAAAGCCUGAUCCAGCCAUGCCGCGUGUGUGAAGAAGGUUUUCGGAUUGUAAAGCACUUUAAGUUGGGAGGAAGGGCAGUAAGUUAAUACCUUGCUGUUUUGACGUUACCAACAGAAUAAGCACCGGCUAACUUCGUG